GCCCGCCUAGCUCAAUCGGAUAGAGCGUCAGACUCUUAUCGUCUGAAGGCGGGUGAAUCUGAAGGCUGUGGGUUCGACCCCCACGGUGGGCU